ACUACGGGUGGCAGCAGUGAGGAAUAUUGGUCAAUGGGCUUACGCCUGAACCAGCCAAGUCGCGUGAGGGAAGACUGCCCUAUGGGUUGUAAACCUCUUUUGUCAGGGAGCAACGCCGGCUACGUGUAGCCGGGCUGAGAGUACCUGAAGAAAAAGCAUCGGCUAACUCCGUGCCAGCAGCCGCGGUAAUACGGAGGAUGCGAGCGUUAUCCGGAUUUAUUGGGUUUAAAGGGUGUGUAGGCGGAUUGAUAAGUUAGAGGUGAAAUGUCCGAGCUUAACUCGGGAACUGCCUCUAAUACUGUUGAUCUAGAGAGUAGAUGCGGUAGGCGGAAUGUAUGGUGUAGCGGUGAAAUGCUUAGAGAUCAUACAGAACACCGAUUGCGAAGGCAGCUUACCAAUCUAUAUCUGACGUUGAGGCACGAAAGCGUGGGGAGCAAACAGGAUUAGAUACCCCUGUAGUC
rnacentral:rRNA from 1 species